AUCUCUGUGAUAGGUCAACCACCGUCACCGGAUCCAUCACUGGCCUCAAGCCUGGGCUUCAUGGCUUCCAUGUGCAUGCUCUUGGAGACACCACCAAUGGAUGCAUGUCAACUGGGCCUCAUUUUAAUCCUGCUGGAAAGGAACAUGGUGCUCCUGAAGAUGAAAA